UCGGGAAUUUUGGGCAAUGGGGGAAACCCUGACCCAGCCAUGCCGCGUGCAGGAUGAAGGCGUUAUGCGUUGUAAACUGCUUUUAUAUAGGAAGAAAUAGUCCUUGCGAGGAAAGUUGACGGUACUAUAUGAAUAAGCACCGGCUAACUCCGUGCCAGCAGCCGCGGUAAUACGGGGGGUGCAAGCGUUAAUCGGAUUUACUGGGCGUAAAGGGCGCGUAGGCGGCGUGGUAAGUCAUCUGUGAAAUCUCCGAGCUUAACUCGGAACGGUCAGAUGAUACUGCUGUGCUAGAGUACAGAAAGGGCAAUCGGAAUUCUUGGUGUAGCGGUGAAAUGCGUAGAUAUCAAGAGGAACACCUGAGGCGAAGGCGGGUUGCUAGGCUGAUACUGACGCUGAGGCGCGAAAGCCAGGGGAGCAAACGGGAUUAGAUACCCAAGUAGUCCCUGAGCGGGCUGGCAAGGCGCAU
rnacentral:rRNA from 1 species